UACGGAGGAGGCAAGCGUUAUCCGGAAUUAUUGGGCGUAAAGCGUCCGUAGGUGGCUCUCUCAAGUCUGCUGUCAAAGACCGGGGCUUAACCUCGGAAAGGCAGUGGAAACUGAACAGCUAGAGUAUGGUAGGGGCAGAGGGAAUUCCUGGUGUAGCGGUGAAAUGCGUAGAGAUCAGGAAGAACAUCGGUGGCGAAGGCGCUCUGCUGGACCAUAACUGACACUCAGGGACGAAAGCUAGGGGAGCGAAUGGG
rnacentral:rRNA from 1 species